ACAGAAAUUUGGUCUCUGGUAGUGGGUCCACUUCCACCCCAUUUCAGACUCUACAGACCAAGCUUGCCUGCAGCCUGUACCUCCAAAAUGUGGAGGUGGGGAGGUCUAAGAAAGAGGGGGAUCACUUGCAAAUAUAAGGAAAUCAGACGCACCCGGUGCUACAGAAAUGGGCCAGGAGAAAACUCAGCAUUUUGACUGGGAUUUUGUUCCAACCAAGCAACUCUCUUCUACUUUCGUUGUGUACGGUUGGCACCAGGUGGAGGACAAUCAUUGGCACAGUGCUCUUGGCUCCUCUCCAUCCUCUCACUCCCUCCGCACUGACUGAUGAAAACCAAAGGAAGAGGGACAAGAAAUUAAGACGUGUUUAUCUUAAGACGAGAGAGACAAAGUCAGAUCUCUUGAAGACAACCAUAUCUGCUUAAUGCCAUAUGCAAUAGAAAACUCUUCAAAGAACUACAGGGGGCCGGGCGCAGUGACUUAUGCCUGCAAUCCCAGCACUUUGGGAG
rnacentral:lncRNA from 1 species